GCCCCUGUAGGCUAAUGGAUAGACUGUACCGUUGCGGUCGGUAAGAUCUGGGUUCGACUCCCAGCAGGGGCG
rnacentral:tRNA from 1 species